rnacentral:rRNA from 1 species
CUAUACAUGCAGUCGUGCGGACCUUUUAAAGCUUGCUUUUAAAAGGUUAGCGGCGGACGGGUGAGUAACACGUGGGCAACCUGCCUGUAAGACUGGGAUAACGCCGGGAAACCGGGGCUAAUACCAGAUAGUUUUUUCCUCCGCAUGGAGGAAAAAGGAAAGGCGGCUUCGGCUGCCACUUACAGAUGGGCCCGCGGCGCAUUAACUAGUUGGCGGGGUAACGGCCCACCAAGGGAACGAUGCGUAGCCGACCUGAGAGGGUGAUCGGCCACAUUGGGACUGAAACACGGCCCAAACUCCUACGGGAGGCAGCAGUAGGGAAUCUUCCCCAAUGGACGAAAGUCUGACGGAGCAACCCCCCGUGAGUGAAAAAGGCCUUCGGGUCGUAAAACUCUGUUGCCGGGGAAAAACAAGUGCCGUUCGAACAGGGCGGCGCCUUGACGGUACCCGGCCAGAAAGCCACGGCUAACUACGUGCCAGCAGCCGCGGUAAUACGUAGGUGGCAAGCGUUGUCCGGAAUUAUUGGGCGUAAAGCGCGCGCAGGCGGCUUCUUAAGUCUGAUGUGAAAUCUUGCGGCUCAACCGCAAGCGGUCAUUGGAAACUGGGAGGCUUGAGUGCAGAAGAGGAGAGUGGAAUUCCACGUGUAGCGGUGAAAUGCGUAGAGAUGUGGAGGAACACCAGUGGCGAAAGCGGCUCUCUGGUCUGUAACUGACGCUGAGGCGCGAAAGCGUGGGGAGCAAACAGGAUUAGAUACCCUGGUAGUCCACGCCGUAAACGAUGAGUGCUAA